GACUUCAACUCCCAGAAUUCUCCUGGCAGCAUGUUUCAAGGUGGGUGGACUUAAACUUCCAGAAUUCCUAAACUGACAUGCUUUAAGAUGCGUGGACUUCAACUCCCAGAAUUCCCCAGCUGGCAUGCUGGGAGUUGAAGUCCACCCAUCUUAAAGUGGGCAGGUUUGAAAAUUAACGUUCUUUCAAAAAGCAGAACGAGAAGCCCAGCCUGCUACAAAGAGAAGCCUUUGCUUCCAGCGAUGUCCUCAUUUGAAGGAUCCCUCUGAAGUCCUCAGGGGUCACGUUGGAAAGAAAAUUGAGUGGCUGAAACAGACAGAGGAGGCCGCCUGCAGAAGAAAAAGAACAAAGCGUUUUAGAAACUUGACUGGGUGGCAAGGAAGCACCUCACCAAUUUGAAUGGAUGCCUUUUUUGCAAUUGUGGAAAGAUAGUUGGAACUUCAGAGGUCAUCUAGUCCAACCCCCUCGUUUGAUGCUUGGCCUGUAGAACCAGACAGCGUAGACCCGAUCCAGAUCCCAUUUAUUAAGCUGCAGGGAUGGGAACCUGAGAAAUUAACCUUGUCUGUUUACAGCUACCACUUUUGCCCCCUGGGACACCAGUUAUUGCUGCCAUAUUGAUUUUUUUGACCUCCCCAUGGUCAUCUAAUCCAAGAUAUCUCCCCCUCCCGCACAAGCCACGUUUAAAAAAAAGCUCUGAACCCCUGAUCCCCCCCCCCCAGGCCCUGGUUUAGAGCAGCAGCCCCCAACCCUUUGGACACCAGGAACGGUUCCGUGGAGAGACGUUUUUCCAUGGACUAGAGGAGGCGUGGUUUCGCAUGCUGCCUGCAUCCCACGGAUGGGGCUUCGCUUGUUGGCGUGGCCCGGUUUCUGGCAUGCCGUGUGCCAGUCUAUGGACUGGGCAUUGCGGACUCCUUAUUUAGAGCAGGGAUCUCCGACCUUGGCAACUUUGUGGACUUCAGCUCCCAGAAUUCCUCAGCCAGCUUUGCUUGUGGACUUCAGCUCCCAGAAUUCCUCAGCCAGCUUUGCUUGUGGACUUCAGCUCCCAGAAUUCCUCAGCCAGCUUUGCUUGUGGACUUCAGCUCCCAGAAUUCCCCAGCCAGCUUGCUUGUGGACUUCAGCUCCCAGAAUUCCUCAGCCAGCUUUGCUUGUGGACUUCAGCUCCCAGAAUUCCUCAGCCAGCUUUGCUUGUGGACUUCAGCUCCCAGAAUUCUGGGAGCUGAAGUCCACAAGCCUUAAAGUUGCCAAGGUUGGAGACCCUGGUGUAGAGUAUUUACCCACAUCCUAUGUGCUUUAUUGUCAAUUUUAAUGAUAUCUUUUAUCCUGAUGUACGGGUGGUACUUUUGUAAAAAUGCAUUAUACGGUUGCACUUAUGGUGUUUGGCACCCAAAUCAUUGUAGAGUUAGUCAACCUUACAAAUUUCUUAAGCAAGUAGAAAUAUAAGAACUUAAAAGCCAGGAUGGUACCCCUGAGAGCAUCAAGACCAACCCCUUUCUCUGCUUAGAGGUUAGUUUAGGAACUCUGAUAGUUGUCCAACUGCAGUUUGAAUGCAACCAAGUCAGCAUCUCUCUGGGGCUUUGCAUUGUCUGACGGCUCUUUGUGAGAGAUUUUUUUCUAACAUCCCUCCUGGUGACUUAAAUCCCUUACACGUAGUCCUCGAUUUACAACCGUUCCAUUUAGUAACCAUUCGGAGUUUACAAUGGCACUGAAAAAAGUGCCUUAUGACUGUUUUCCACACACAGCCGUUGCAGCAUCCCUGUGGUCACGUGAUCAACAUUCAGACCCCCCCUCCCCCGGCAGUUCAUAUUUAUGACGAUUGCAGUGUCACGGUGUCUUGUGAUCCUCUUUUUGUGACCUGACAAGCAAAGUCAACGUGAAAGCUAGAUUCACUUAACUGGGUGACUAACUUAACAACUGCAGUGAUUGACGUGACAAUUGCGGCAAGAAAGGUCGUAAAAUGGGGUAAAGUUCGCUUAACUGCUGUCUCGCUUAGCAACAGAAAAUUUGGGGCUCAAUUGCGAGCACUACCUGUAUUGCUUGGCCUUCCCUCUUGAGAUUAUUUUUUCUCAAAAUUAAACCUUCCCAUUUUCUCUUCUUCUAAAGUUCCUGAUUGUCCUUUCCGUCUUUUUAACGUUCUGAAGAAUCUGAAGAUUAUUCCGAUUAUUUUUUAACUGGGAAGAAUUAAGACUCAAAAGACUAGAUCUCUGCUGUUCUAUUAUUUUUUAUAAAUUAGUGUGGAACAAGCUACCAUAGAUCAUAAAAAAGCAGAAUAUACAGUAGUUAAAAUAUGAGUCUCGGCUGACCAAAAUUAAGACUAAACCUUCCUGAGGUUGGUGGUGGUUGAAUUUGGGAAUUUUUGCGUUAAAAUAGAUGUCCUGCCAUUAAACAAUGCUUUUCUCCUUCUGAAACGCCCAAUGGAUCUACUUUCAGUUGCAAAAUGCAAAAUCUGAGUUUGGAUGACCUCAUCUCUGCUUUUCAACGUCUCCCAUUGGUCGGCGUCUCAACUCCUGCGAUUCUUUAACCAGCCACCAGAUGGCAGUAGGGAUUAACCAAUGGAGCCUCUUGCUUUACUUCCCCCCCCCCCUUUUUUUGCCCCUAAAUCAACUUUAAUUUUUCUUUUCUUUUUCUUUUUGGAAUGUAUAGAAUAAUUUAAUUCUCUCCACCUCCAGUCAAUUUGCAAGCUAAGCUACUUCAGGGGGCCUCGGUGAGAUGGGAGGCCUAGAAGUCUAAUAAUAAAUAAAUGAAAUAAAAUGUAUGACCGAAAACGUCCCCAUUCAAAAAUGCUUUUUUAAAAAAAGGAUGAUGAAUGUCAAGUAUCACCUAAAUUCCAGAAUUCCUUUUCUCUGGUCACAGAAGAAGUAAAAAAAUGUUUUUUUCUCUCAAUCUUUUUCCUUGUUAUAUUAAACAUUUACAUUCUGUUGGCUCCUUUUAGAGGUUUUGAGGUGCUUCAUGCAUCUCAUCCUCACAAGAACCCUGCGAGGUGGGACACUAUCCUGUUUCCCCUAUAUAUAGAUUCCUGCUUCAACUGGCAGAAGAACGGAGAAAAAUCCAUUUUUUAGCCUUUCAGAUCCACCGUCUUGCCAGAGCCGCCGACGGUAGUCGCAGCAAACACACAACAGCGUGUUUAAACCUUUCCUUUGUUGCCAUCAAGUACUGCUUGCAGACAGUUGAAAAGAAGCCAGCGACGGGGAAAUGCCACUAAAAUGCAAGAACAGCCUGAGCACGGCUGAAGCGCCAGGAAAGCAAAGGGAGGCGGCUGCGUUAAACAGAAAAACAGAAAAAGUC